rnacentral:lncRNA from 1 species
ACAAACUCCUCCAUCCGGGGGGACAGCUGGGGGCGUUGUGAUCUUGGCUGCGAGGGCGUCUCUCACACACGGCACAGCUGCUGAUGUGGCCGAGGAUUUCGCCCCCCGACACGGGCAUCAUGGGCACGGCCGCAGAGGUGGAGAGCCAGUAGGACUUACCGUUGCGUCUGGCGUAGUCACAGGUGUAGCAGAAGGGCAUGGUGCUGAAGACUUGCAUACACAAGCCUGCCUGGCUUGUGUCUCCCUGGGGGCCCUCGCAACCCAGCAGGACCCUUAAGACCCAGGAGAGGACACAAACACCACAAUCAGUCAGUGUGAAGGAAGAUAAUGUCACGUGUGGAGUCGCCAGAGCCGCCCGCCAGUCAGGAGUCGCCAGAGCCGCCCGCCAAUCAGGAGUCGCCAGAGCCGCCCGCCAGUCAGGAGUCGCCAGAGCCGCCCGCCAGUCAGGAGUCGCCAGAGCCGCCCGCCAAUCAGGAGUCGCCAGAGCCGCCCGCCAGUCAGGAGUCGCCAG